GGUAGCGUGGCCGAGCGGUCUAAGGCGCUGGUUUAAGGCACCAGUCUCUUCGGAGGCGUGGUUUCGAAUCCACCGCUUCCA
rnacentral:tRNA from 1 species